AGAGUUUGAUCCUGGCUCAGGAUGAACGCUGGCGGCGUGCCUAAUACAUGCAAGUCGAGCGAACGGACGAGAAGCUUGCUUCUCUGAUGUUAGCGGCGGACGGGUGAGUAACACGUGGAUAACCUACCUAUAAGACUGGGAUAACUUCGGGAAACCGGAGCUAAUACCGGAUAAUAUUUUGAACCGCAUGGUUCAAAAGUGAAAGACGGUCUUGCUGUCACUUAUAGAUGGAUCCGCGCUGCAUUAGCUAGUUGGUAAGGUAACGGCUUACCAAGGCAACGAUGCAUAGCCGACCUGAGAGGGUGAUCGGCCACACUGGAACUGAGACACGGUCCAGACUCCUACGGGAGGCAGCAGUAGGGAAUCUUCCGCAAUGGGCGAAAGCCUGACGGAGCAACGCCGCGUGAGUGAUGAAGGUCUUCGGAUCGUAAAACUCUGUUAUUAGGGAAGAACAUAUGUGUAAGUAACUGUGCACAUCUUGACGGUACCUAAUCAGAAAGCCACGGCUAACUACGUGCCAGCAGCCGCGGUAAUACGUAGGUGGCAAGCGUUAUCCGGAAUUAUUGGGCGUAAAGCGCGCGUAGGCGGUUUUUUAAGUCUGAUGUGAAAGCCCACGGCUCAACCGUGGAGGGUCAUUGGAAACUGGAAAACUUGAGUGCAGAAGAGGAAAGUGGAAUUCCAUGUGUAGCGGUGAAAUGCGCAGAGAUAUGGAGGAACACCAGUGGCGAAGGCGACUUUCUGGUCUGUAACUGACGCUGAUGUGCGAAAGCGUGGGGAUCAAACAGGAUUAGAUACCCUGGUAGUCCACGCCGUAAACGAUGAGUGCUAAGUGUUAGGGGGUUUCCGCCCCUUAGUGCUGCAGCUAACGCA
rnacentral:rRNA from 1 species